UGGCACCAAAUGAAAAAGAUCUUGUUCACCAGCCAGACUCUAGGCUGAAAAGGGACAGACAGAACUGUAUGCAGGCCCUUGUUACCCAGUUUAAAAUCAGCAUCUCCAUAGUAACCAAAAUUAAUUCAGCACAAAUUUUGCUGAAUUGGGACCUGGGCCUAGAGGAGGGGGCGCAUCCGAUGGUCAGCUGCACAGAGGGGCCCAGUCCUCUUGCUGCAGGGUCACUGCACACUCUGAAAUGGAAAAAAGCUCCUCACAGCCCCAGUUCAUGAACACUGGGGAAUCCAGCGUCCUCCCCACAUUUGCAGGGAGGUGGGGACGUUUCCGGAUUCUUCUCAGCCCGCUCCAGCUUCUUGUUCUGGGAUCCUGUCCCUACACUGUUCCUCCGGAACUCGUAGCUCCCCUCCUACUGGGGGCUCCCUCCCCCUCCAGGCCCUUCGGCAGGCUGGGGAUGGUUCCGUCUGGUCCAGAAGACACGCUGGUCUGAGAGCCGUCGGCUGCUUCCCGGGGCAAGCGUGGAGGGGUCUCAGCUCUGCUCCGGUCUGAUCGGUCACCAAGGACGAGGCAGGCCUGCGUCUUCCUGCCUGAAGUGGGAGUAAAAUCACCGUCCAGCCAGGAGAGCUGUGGAGUCCUGGUCCAGCCGAGCAGGGAGCUCAUUUCUGACAGUGGAGCCAUCCCAAGAGCCGCGUGUGCCGUAACGACCUCCUAGACGAAGAGAAAACUAAAAACCAGGACCGAAAGCAGAGUCCUUCCCACGAGACCAGCGCAGCCUUACUUCCGUCCUGGAAAUGAACCAGCCGUGAGUGGACAUUGCCCAGUGCGGUGACUGGGUGGGGGUCUGCUGUGAGGAAGAAGGGUGCCCAGACCUGGGGAUGGGGAGAGCAAAGCCGACAGCCCCAGGCUCCCGAGGCCUCACCUGUGGCUGGGAUGGGCCUUGGCCCCCAGGAGAGCCGGGGCCAGUGUCCUGGGCUGCCCUGCUGGCCUCCUGACCCGGACCAUCCUCAAGAGAUAGAAAUAGUUUGUUUUUGUGUUUUUUAAAAAAUUUCACUGGCGUAUAGUUGAUUUACAAUGUUGUAUUAGUUUCUGCUGUACAGCAAAGUGACUCAGUUAUACAUAGAAUGCAUUCACUUUUACAGAGUUUUUCCCUUUUAGAUUAUCACAGAGUAUUGAGUCGAGUUCCCUGUGCUGCAGAGUAGGUCCUUAGUAGCUGUGGCUUUUGUGUGUAGUGGUGUGUAUAUGUCGGCCCUAACCUCC
rnacentral:lncRNA from 1 species